rnacentral:rRNA from 1 species
AUUGAACGCUGGCGGCAUGCUUUACACAUGCAAGUCGAGCGGCAGCGCGGGACUCAGGCAACUGAGCCCUGGGCGGCGAGCGGCGAACGGGUGAGGAAUACAUCGGAACGCACCCCGGAGUGGGGGAUAACGCCGACGAAAGCGGCGCUAAUACCGCAUAUGCCCUGUGGAGGAAGUGGGGACCCGCAAGGGCCUCACGCUCUGGGCGCGGCCGAGUCCGAUUAGCUAGUUGGUGAGGUAAUGGCUCACCAAGGCGACGAUCGGUAGCUGGUCUGAGAGGAUGAUCAGCCACACUGGGACUGAGACACGGCCCAGACU